rnacentral:pre_miRNA from 1 species
CAUGCACCGGUGGGGUCCCUUGGCCUGGCCUGUGCCCUUUUGCAAUCUGGGACCCCUCAGGGGAUGUUGGAGAGCUGGUUUUGGCCUGAUCCCCGCAGGCCAGGCCGAGGGACCCCACUGGUGCAUG